CCGUCAUACUCCAUGCUGUUUAUCGGAUUUGAGCCCAGAGCCAGCCAUCAUAACCACAAACAAUGUGCAAUUUUUCUUGUGCAGGUGUUGGUAACCUGUCACCAGCAACAAUCUCAGGAUCAUCGUUUUGGAUAAAAAGCAUCCCAUUGCAUUGGAAUGCAAUCACGUGCAUUGUCCAUUGAGCUAUGGAUCUCUCUGUUUCCCCUUUCUUCAAAUGCCCUUGUGUAUGCCCAUGUGAAUGUGGGUGUAUUCACGAGGACACCCUUUUUACCCUAUCCCGUCUGGUGUCAUUUAACUCUUCAGCGGAUGGAUGGAGCAACUGUAGAGAUGCCUGGCUGUAUUUCCCAGGCACAAAGGUAGGACAAAAUCGAUCUCUAUUCUUCCUUUUUAGCAAUUUUUGGAGGCGUUGGUUAUAAAUUGUUACG